GAACAAAGGAAGAAAAGAAGAACAAAAACCCUAGGUGAAAAAAUUCAAGGAAAAAGUGUGAAAAUUCAAGGAAACAAGUGACAAAAGGUAAGAUUUAUCAAUUCUAGCUUGUGAUCUACCUUUCCUAUGUAUUUUUUUUCAUUUUCCAUGGUUUAGAAUCAAGUUUGCAUGAGGAUACCCUUGCUGGCCGAACAUGGGGGGAGGAGUUUUGAUGCUUGAUUUGGUUAGAUUUUAAGAUAUUUUAGUGUUUUUAGUUAGUUAGUGAUGUGUAGCAUGAAAAUCAAGUAAGAAAAAUUCAUUUUCUCCCAUUACCCAUUAUUGGCCGAAUUUACCAUGUAGAGUGUGGAUGGUGGAUUUGAUUUUAAUUCAAGUGAAUUGGUUAGGAAAUGAUGAAUUAUGGUGAGAAAAUCAAGUAGGAAAAAUCAUAGUGUUGAUGCACCCACCAUGGCCGAAAUUCCCAAGAGAAAAUGUGAAGAUAAUUUUGUUAAAUUUUAUGCUAUUUGACUUGUGUUUGAUGGUUUGGAGAAUUGGAAGAAAAAUGGAAUUAAUUGGAGUUAAAUUGGACAUAUUGGCCAAUUAAUCGAGUGAUAGUUCAAAUUAGACCGAUAACGUUUUAUUUAGGUACACAAUUGAAUUUGUGUAGAACACCGUGUUUAGACAAUAAUUCGAACAAUUUGCAUUCCAUUCAAUGCAUCCAUAUAGUUUUAUAACGGUUUAGCAUUAAUGUGGUAAAUUGCUUGAUUAUGAAUUAUGUCUAGGUGGUGAAUCCUUCGAUAAAGGCAAAGAAAUUGUACCCGAGGAUCGAUAGUCGGAGUACUAAAAAAAUUCGACUCUCAAAAUAGUGAGUAACCGUAUCAUCAUUUUAAUUAUCUAAAGUGGUUUUUUUAUUCGAUUUUGUGAAUUUUAUGGAGAAUGAGUUAAAUGGUAAAUCUUUGUGUUUUGUAGCUAAAAUGUGAUUUAAUGAAAUGAUAUUAUAACAUCGUCUUGAAAUUGAAUGGUGGUUUGAAAAUAGAGUAUUUGGAGACUAUUUUCAUGUGUUGUAAAUUCAUGGUUCUAAUUGAUUGGCUUAUGGUAAUAUUGGCAUGAAUGGCUGAAUUGGUAUUUGUGUUGAAAAUGUAUAAACUGCUGUUUGCCUUGAUAGGCUGGAUAAUGAUAAAAUUGCCAUGUCAUGCUGUUGAAUUUUUAUUGCAUGGUGGGUUUAGCUUGCUACAAUGGGAGGGUUCUAUGGAUCAGCCUAUUAGAGGGGCACAAAAUCCAGUUAUUUAUGUACCUCAGUCGAAGAGGAGCGUAGGGUAUCUCUUGAGGUAUGGUUAAAGUUCACGUCACGCCGAACCACCUCGUGAUGAUGAACUCCGCUAACGCCAAGGAACGGCUAUGUUUUUAAAAUAAAAACAUGAUUUAUGCGUACAUAACUUUUUAACAGCCUUGGCGAACUCGGUUAAAUGCCUCGAUCAAGGUAUUCCCGAGAAUGAUUUUGACAGGAGCCAAGCUUUUAAGAUACUCAUAGGCCAUGCUGAUUAUUUAAAUGAAAUGAAUAUUUAUGUUAUGAAUUACAUAUUGAGAUGGAAUAUUUUAAUCGUCUCCAUUUACUCGACUUUAGAGAUUUUGGAUGGUGUUUGUUUACCCACUGGGAUUAUAUAAUCUCACCACCCUUAUUUUCACCCAUUUUAGGCUCAAAAAAGGCUGUAGAUAGCUGAUUUCAACGAGGCUACCAUUAGAUUUGCAUCCUCCAAACUGUAGGUUCAUAGUCUUUCUUACUUUUGAUUAUUCGUGGGCCCACUAGUUAUUGUAAAUUAAGUUAAAUACUCUGGCUUACUAUAUUAUAGUAUGUAUGAAUUUAUUUUGCUUUUACGCU
rnacentral:lncRNA from 1 species